rnacentral:rRNA from 1 species
CAGCCGCCACGGGAAUACGGAGGGUGCAAGCGUUAAUCGGAAUUACUGGGCGUAAAGCGCACGCAGGCGGUCUGACAAGUCAGAUGUGAAAUCCCCGGGCUUAACCUGGGAACUGCAUUUGAAACUGUCAGGCUGGAGUCUUGUAGAGGGGGGUGGAAUUCCAGGUGUAGCGGUGAAAUGCGUAGAGAUCUGGAGGAAUACCGGUGGCGAAGGCGGCCCCCUGGACAAAGACUGACGCUCAGGUGCGAAAGCGUGGGGAGCAAACAGGAUUAGAUACCCCGGUAGUCCCUGUCUCUUAUCC